rnacentral:misc_RNA from 1 species
GGAUUGCUUAGUUUUGAAUUGGAGUUUGUUUAGUUGGUAUGCUAGUUUAUGGACUUCAACGUGAGAGUUAUGGUGUAGUUGACUCAGCUCUUUAGUCUUUGUUUCUGGGGAUUUCUUCCCUUAGGCUGGCUUCAAUAGUAAUGUCGGUGCUACGUGGUCGCCGACUCCGUCUCCGUACGAAUGACAAGAGAAUGAGAGCUAGUGUCAUCUCAAGUUUUUACCCAAUUUGAUCUGGCACAGGUCCCCAAUUCUGAGUGAUAUUGUUUUAUUACGAAACUCUUCCAUUAUUGUUUCCUCUGUAAAGAAAAGUUUCUUGUCUAGGUAGAUCAGCCGAUGUGUUUCUCCCCUUGUUUUUGUUGAGUUUUUAUGUGUGCAUUAUUAAGUUUUGUUUUUAGGUAGCUCUCCUUUUGCCAUCAAAUAUCGAUUGAGGUAGGCCAAUGUGGGUCCUUAUAUUGGGCUUGAG